AACGUAGGUAACCUGCCCCGGAGCGGGGGAGUAACAUUUGGAAACAGAUGCUAAUACCGCAUAACAAUAAAAGCCGCAUGGCUUUUAUUUGAAAGAUGGCUUUGGCUAUCACUCUGGGAUGGACCUGCGGUGCAUUAGCUAGUUGGUAAGGUAACGGCUUACCAAGGCGAUGAUGCAUAGCCGAGUUGAGAGACUGGUCGGCCACAAUGGAACUGAGACACGGUCCAUACUCCUACGGGAGGCAGCAG
rnacentral:rRNA from 1 species